AUUGAACGCUGGCGGCAGGCCUAACACAUGCAAGUCGAGCGGAUGAGAGGAGCUUGCUCCUUGAUUUAGCAGCGGACGGGUGAGUAAUGCCUAGGAAUCUGCCUGGUAGUGGGGGAUAACGUUCCGAAAGGAACGCUAAUACCGCAUACGUCCUACGGGAGAAAGCAGGGGACCUUCGGGCCUUGCGCUAUCAGAUGAGCCUAGGUCGGAUUAGCUAGUUGGUGAGGUAAUGGCUCACCAAGGCGACGAUCCGUAACUGGUCUGAGAGGAUGAUCAGUCACACUGGAACUGAGACACGGUCCAGACUCCUACGGGAGGCAGCAGUGGGGAAUAUUGGACAAUGGGCGAAAGCCUGAUCCAGCCAUGCCGCGUGUGUGAAGAAGGUCUUCGGAUUGUAAAGCACUUUAAGUUGGGAGGAAGGGCAUUAACCUAAUACGUUAGUGUUUUGACGUUACCGACAGAAUAAGCACCGGCUAACUUCGUGCCAGCCGCCGCCGUAAAAC
rnacentral:rRNA from 1 species